UUCUUGUCAUUUGAUCAACUAAUUCCUUUGCCCCUCACCCUCGGCUCUCUCCUUUUCUUUUCCGCACAAAAGCCACUCUCACACACUCUCUUAACUCACGACACUUCCACUACACAAACACACGCAAAGAAGAAAAACUCCUCCACUCUCACUCUCGGUCCUCCUCACUUCAAAAAAUUUCCAGCGCACUUCCAUUACACAAACACACACCAAUACAAAAUCACUCCCCUCUCUCUCGGCUCCUUCCUUCUAUAGCUACCUUCCUACAAACCAUAAAAAAAAAAAAAGAAAAAGAAAAGAGAGAGAGAGCAAGAAAGGGUAAAAUGCAAGAUCAAAGUGAAGUUGGAAGCUCGUUGCCAGCGCCAUUGCCACCAUCGCCGCCAUAAUAAUCUCUUUGUAAAACCAUUUUCGAUGCAGAGGAAGAAGAAAUAAAUAAUCAUCCAAAAAGAAAGAAGAAACAAAAUAUUGCCUGCGGUCAGAGAAUUCGGAGAGACUUAACUCCUUAAGAGAAUAGGGAGAGAGACCGUCAAACUCCACAAGAGGAUUGAGAGGAACAAAGCUUCCUGGAAGCGGCAGCUUCGGUGGCAGCGGCAGCGGCAGCCUCGAGUACUUGGAGCUUCGAUGGUAGCAGCAGCUUCAGUAGCAGCUGUAGUGGUAGCUUCGAGUACCUGGAGCUUCGGUGGCCGCGGCAACUUCAGUAGCAGCGGCUGCGGCAGCUUCAGUAGCAACGGCAAUGGCAACGGCAGCUUCAGUAGCAGCGGCGACUUCCUUGAAGAACUUCGAACUUUCAAGUUCCAAUUGCUUGCCUCAAACUUCGAACUGCCAGUGCUGACAAAACAAUGGCCGAAUCCCAGAGAAACAAUUCUCCAUUUGUUUUGUUCUCGCUUCUCAGAGAAACAAAGAAGAAAGCAAUCCCUAAUGCCUAAAUCCCCAAUGACGGCCAAUUGGGCCACAUGCCCGAUUCCCUCUUCAUUCUUUAAUUUUUCUGAUUUUCUCUUUUAUUUGGCUAAAAAGACGAUAAUGCCCAUGUAGUAUAAAUGGUCUAAAUAAAAAAAUUGGAUAAAACGGUAACUUCAAAAAAA